GAAAAAUGGUUGCUUCAAUACCGAAACCAUCAUCAGCUUAUCGAACUGGCAGUCAUCAUUGAGUGUGCGAGACACUAUAGUUGCAUUUAUUGAGAAAAUGGCUACCUACUCAAAUGGUGGAUUGGUUUCGUGCAAAAGGCGUCAUCUGGCCAUCAAAUCUCGUGCAAAAGCCCCAACAUAUGGUACUUUUGCACGUCAGGAGUUAUGUCAUGCUACAGGCAGCUGCCGUGUAUGUUAACAUAUACUACAGCACAAGCAGCGGCCGUGUCGUCAACGUCAACAUUAGUGGGAUUACACUUAAUGUUAACAAUUCCAAAUGGGUAGGAGUUUUUGAUUUUUUGAAGGAGGCCCCCAAGCCCAAGGGGAUAACAGAACUAUUUUGGGUUUUUAUGUGUUUCGUCAUGGUACUUUUUGUAGUUUGGUCAUGCUAAGAAUGAUGAACUGAGGUGAUCAAAUCUGUAGCGUAGUUCUCUUUUAUUGGUACCUUCUCCUAAUUUAGGAGAGGUGGUAAUGGAGCUGCAGAGAGCACCGAGUGCAGCUUCAGAUCCAGGGGGUUUAGGGCAAGAAUAUUUCCUUUAUUAUAUUGGUAUCCGAUUGCUUUGACUUUUGACUUCUCAUAUAUUAACAGGAUAAUAUUAAUGGGGAGAGUA